rnacentral:tRNA from 1 species
GUUCCUGCUGGCACAGGAAGCGGCGGGUCACAUUACCGAUGUGACACUCAACAGCAGUUCCACUCUGGAGCAGGAGUUCGA